rnacentral:rRNA from 1 species
UACAGAGGGGGCAAGCGUUGUUCGGAAUUACUGGGCGUAAAGGGCGCGUAGGCGGCCUUCUAAGUCGAACGUGAAAUCCCUCGGCUCAACCGAGGAACUGCAUCCGAUACUGGCGGGCUUGAAUCCGGGAGAGGGAUGUGGAAUUCCAGGUGUAGCGGUGAAAUGCGUAGAUAUCUGGAGGAACACCGGUGGCGAAGGCGGCAUCCUGGACCGGUAUUGACGCUGAGGCGCGAAAGCGUGGGGAGCAAACAGG